GCAUAUCACGUUGAAACACGAGUUCUCAUAUGAUCACCAAAGUUAAGCAACAUUGAGCCUGGUCAGUACCUUGAUGGAUGACCAUUUAGAAAUAUCAGGUGCUGUAAG